GCACCCGCCCGUGCCAAUGGUGCCUGCGCGUCAAAACCGCAGGAUAAUAGGGAAUUGGGUUAGAGGCCCAAACUGUCCCCGCAACUGUAAGCGCCGAGCCUUGCUGCCCUAUGUCACUCGCAUCUGCGGGGAAGACGGCAGCGAAGCGUUCGAGGCGCGAGUCAGGAGACCUGCCUUGGCUGUCGUCCUUUG
rnacentral:ncRNA from 2 species